UGGGGAAUAUUGCGCAAUGGGCGAAAGCCUGACGCAGCGACGCCGCGUGGAGGAUGAAGGUCUUCGGAUUGUAAACUUCUGUUAAGUGGGAAGAAAUACCUGCUUCUAAUAAAAGUAGGGGAUGACGGUACCAUUAGAGAAAGCACCGGCUAACUUCGUGCCAGCAGCCGCGGUAAUACGAAGGGUGCAAGCGUUAUUCGGAAUUAUUGGGCGUAAAGGGUGUGUAGACGGUAUGUUAAGUCUGUUGUUAAAUGCUCCAGCCUAACUGGAGACCUGCAAUGGAAACUGACAUGCUUGAGGGUGGGAGAGAGAAGUGGAAUUCUCGGAGUAGCGGUAAAAUGCGUAGAUCUCGAGAGGAACACCAAUGGCGAAGGCAGCUUCUUAGUCCAUACCUGACGUUGAAACACGAAAGCGUGGGGAGCAAACAGGAUUAGAUACCCCCGUAGUCC
rnacentral:rRNA from 1 species